rnacentral:rRNA from 1 species
GACGAACGCUGGCGGCGUGCUUAACACAUGCAAGUCGAACGGAAAGGCCCUGCUUUUGUGGGGUGCUCGAGUGGCGAACGGGUGAGUAACACGUGAGUAACCUGCCCUUGACUUUGGGAUAACUUCAGGAAACUGGGGCUAAUACCGGAUAGGAGCUCCUGCUGCAUGGUGGGGGUUGGAAAGUUUCGGCGGUUGGGGAUGGACUCGCGGCUUAUCAGCUUGUUGGUGGGGUAGUGGCUUACCAAGGCUUUGACGGGUAGCCGGCCUGAGAGGGUGACCGGCCACAUUGGGACUGAGAUACGGCCCAGACUCCUACGGGAGGCAGCAGUGGGGAAUAUUGCACAAUGGGCGGAAGCCUGAUGCAGCAACGCCGCGUGCGGGAUGACGGCCUUCGGGUUGUAAACCGCUUUCGCCUGUGACGAAGCGUGAGUGACGGUAAUGGGUAAAGAAGCACCGGCUAACUACGUGCCAGCAGCCGCGGUGAUACGUAGGGUGCGAGCGUUGUCCGGAUUUAUUGGGCGUAAAGGGCUCGUAGGUGGUUGAUCGCGUCGGAAGUGUAAUCUUGGGGCUUAACCCUGAGCGUGCUUUCGAUGCGGGUUGACUUGGGGAAGGUAGGGGAGAAUGGAAUUCCUGGUGGAGCGGUGGAAUGCGCAGAUAUCAGGAGGAACACCAGUGGCGAAGGCGGUUCUCUGGGCCUUUCCUGACGCUGAGGAGCGAAAGCGUGGGGAGCGAACAGGCUUAGAUACCCUGGUAGUCCACGCUGUAAACGGUGGGUACUAGGUGUGGGGUCCAUUCCACGGGUUCCGUGCCGUAGCUAACGCUUUAAGUACCCCGCCUGGGGAGUACGGCCGCAAGGCUAAAACUCAAAGGAAUUGACGGGGCCCCGCACAGGCGGCGGAGCAUGCGGAUUAAUUCGAUGCAACGCGUAGAACCUUACCUGGGUUUGACAUGGAUCGGGAGUGCUCAGAGAUGGGUGUGCCUCUUUUGGGGUCGGUUCACAGGUGGUGCAUGGCUGUCGUCAGCUCGUGUCGUGAGAUGUUGGGUUAAGUCCCGCAACGAGCGCAACCCUUGUUCACUGUUGCCAGCACGUUAUGGUGGGGACUCAGUGGAGACCGCCGGGGUCAACUCGGAGGAAGGUGGGGAUGACGUCAAGUCAUCAUGCCCCUUAUGUCCAGGGCUUCACGCAUGCUACAAUGGCUGGUACAGAGAGUGGCGAGCCUGUGAGGGUGAGCGAAUCUCGGAAAGCCGGUCUCAGUUCGGAUUGGGGUCUGCAACUCGACCUCAUGAAGUCGGAGUCGCUAGUAAUCGCAGAUCAGCAACGCUGCGGUGAAUACGUUCCCGGG